UUCGGGGUACUCGAGUGGCGAACGGGUGAGUAACACGUGGGUGAUCUGCCCUGCACUUUGGGAUAAGCCUGGGAAACUGGGUCUAAUACCGAAUAGGACCGCGCUCUUCAUGGGGUGUGGUGGAAAGCUUUUGCGGUGUGGGAUGGGCCCGCGGCCUAUCAGCUUGUUGGUGGGGUAAUGGCCUACCAAGGCGACGACGGGUAGCCGGCCUGAGAGGGUGACCGGCCACACUGGGACUGAGAUACGGCCCAGACUCCUACGGGAGGCAGCAGUGGGGAAUAUUGCACAAUGGGCGCAAGCCUGAUGCAGCGACGCCGCGUGAGGGAUGACGGCCUUCGGGUUGUAAACCUCUUUCAAUAGGGACGAAGCGCAAGUGACGGUACCUAUAGAAGAAGGACCGGCCAACUACGUGCCAGCAGCCGCGGUAAUACGUAGGGUCCGAGCGUUGUCCGGAAUUACUGGGCGUAAAGAGCUCGUAGGUGGUUUGUCGCGUUGUUCGUGAAAACUCACAGCUUAACUGUGGGCGUGCGGGCGAUACGGGCAGACUAGAGUACUGCAGGGGAGACUGGAAUUCCUGGUGUAGCGGUGGAAUGCGCAGAUAUCAGGAGGAACACCGGUGGCGAAGGCGGGUCUCUGGGCAGUAACUGACGCUGAGGAGCGAAAGCGUGGGGAGCGAACAGGAUUAGAUACCCUGGUAGUCCACGCCGUAAACGGUGGGUACUAGGUGUGGGUUUCCUUCCUUGGGAUCCGUGCCGUAGCUAACGCAUUAAGUACCCCGCCUGGGGAGUACGGCCGCAAGGCUAAAACUCAAAGGAAUUGACGGGGGCCCGCACAAGCGGCGGAGCAUGUGGAUUAAUUCGAUGCAACGCGAAGAACCUUACCUGGGUUUGACAUGCACAGGACGCCAGUAGAGAUAUUGGUUCCCUUGUGGCCUGUGUGCAGGUGGUGCAUGGCUGUCGUCAGCUCGUGUCGUGAGAUGUUGGGUUAAGUCCCGCAACGAGCGCAACCCUUGUCUCAUGUUGCCAGCACGUUAUGGUGGGGACUCGUGAGAGACUGCCGGGGUCAACUCGGAGGAAGGUGGGGGAUGACGUCAAGUCAUCAUGCCCCUUAUUUGUCCAGGGCUUCACACAUGCUACAAUGGCCGGGNUACAAAGGGCUGCGAUGCCGUGAGGGNNNNNUGGAGCGAAUCCUUUCAAAGCCGGUCUCAGUUCGGAUCGGGGUCUGCAACUCGACCCCGUGAAGUCGGAGUCGCUAGUAAUCGCAGAUCAGCAACGCUGCGGUGAAUACGUUCCCGGGCCUUGUACACACCGCCCGUCACGUCAUGAAAGUCGGUAACACCCGAAGC
rnacentral:rRNA from 1 species